rnacentral:lncRNA from 1 species
GCCAGGCCCUAGUGGAGAGCGGGGUCUGGCAGGCCCCCCAGGGAGAGAAGGAAUCCCAGGACCCCUGGGGCCACCUGGACCACCGGGGUCAGUGGGACCACCUGGGGCCUCUGGACUCAAAGGAGACAAGGGAGACCCUGGAGUAGGGCUGCCUGGGCCCCGAGGCGAGCGUGGGGAGCCAGGCAUCCGGGUACGUAUGUCUUACUCCACAGCCGAACUCCCUUCAUCCCAGCUCUUGCCUCUGAUUUCCAACCUCUGAGUCAAUGAACCUAAUGUCACCAUCCAGGGUGAAGAUGGCCGCCCCGGCCAGGAGGGACCCCGAGGACUCACGGGGCCCCCUGGCAGCAGGGGAGAGCGUGGGGAGAAGGGUGAUGUUGGGAGUGCAGGACUAAAGGGUGACAAGGGAGACUCAGCUGUGAUCCUGGGGCCUCCAGGCCCACGGGGUGCCAAGGGGGACAUGGGUGAACGAGGGCCUCGGGGCUUGGAUGGUGACAAAGGACCUCGGGGAGACAAUGGGGACCCUGGUGACAAGGGCAGCAAGGGAGAGCCUGGUGACAAGGGCUCAGCCGGGUUGCCAGGACUGCGUGGACUCCUGGGACCCCAGGGUCAACCUGGUGCAGCAGGGAUCCCUGGUGACCCGGGCGAUUCUCUUUGGUCCCUCACUGACCUCCUCUGACCUCACAUGGACCCUCUCCCUGCUAGGGAUCCC